rnacentral:rRNA from 1 species
GGGCCUCUUGCCAUCGGAUGUGCCCAGAUGGGAUUAGCUAGUAGGUGGGGUAACGGCUCACCUAGGCGACGAUCCCUAGCUGGUCUGAGAGGAUGACCAGCCACACUGGAACUGAGACACGGUCCAGACUCCUACGGGAGGCAGCAGUGGGGAAUAUUGCACAAUGGGCGCAAGCCUGAUGCAGCCAUGCCGCGUGUAUGAAGAAGGCCUUCGGGUUGUAAAGUACUUUCAGCGGGGAGGAAGGGAGUAAAGUUAAUACCUUUGCUCAUUGACGUUACCCGCAGAAGAAGCACCGGCUAACUCCGUGCCAGCAGCCGCGGUAAUACGGAGGGUGCAAGCGUUAAUCGGAAUUACUGGGCGUAAAGCGCACGCAGGCGGUUUGUUAAGUCAGAUGUGAAAUCCCCGGGCUCAACCUGGGAACUGCAUCUGAUACUGGCAAGCUUGAGUCUCGUAGAGGGGGGUAGAAUUCCAGGUGUAGCGGUGAAAUGCGUAGAGAUCUGGAGGAAUA